rnacentral:rRNA from 1 species
AGCGAACAGAUAAGGAGCUUGCUCCUUUGACGUUAGCGGCGGACGGGUGAGUAACACGUGGGUAACCUACCUAUAAGACUGGAAUAACUCCGGGAAACCGGGGCUAAUGCCGGAUAACAUUUAGAACCGCAUGGUUCUAAAGUGAAAGAUGGUUUUGCUAUCACUUAUAGAUGGACCCGCGCCGUAUUAGCUAGUUGGUAAGGUAAUGGCUUACCAAGGCAACGAUACGUAGCCGACCUGAGAGGGUGAUCGGCCACACUGGAACUGAGACACGGUCCAGACUCCUACGGGAGGCAGCAGUAGGGAAUCUUCCGCAAUGGGCGAAAGCCUGACGGAGCAACGCCGCGUGAGUGAUGAAGGGUUUCGGCUCGUAAAACUCUGUUAUUAGGGAAGAACAAACGUGUAAGUAACUGUGCACGUCUUGACGGUACCUAAUCAGAAAGCCACGGCUAACUACGUGCCAGCAGCCGCGGUAAUACGUAGGUGGCAAGCGUUAUCCGGAAUUAUUGGGCGUAAAGCGCGCGUAGGCGGUUUCUUAAGUCUGAUGUGAAAGCCCACGGCUCAACCGUGGAGGGUCAUUGGAAACUGGGAGACUUGAGUGCAGAAGAGGAAAGUGGAAUUCCAUGUGUAGCGGUGAAAUGCGCAGAGAUAUGGAGGAACACCAGUGGCGAAAGCGACUUUCUGGUCUGUAACUGACGCUGAUGUGCGAAAGCGUGGGGAUCAAACAGGAUUAGAUACCCUGGUAGUCCACGCCGUAAACGAUGAGUGCUAAGUGUUACGGGGUUUCCGCCCCUUAGUGCUGCAGCUAACGCAUUAAGCACUCCGCCUGGGGGAGUACGACCGCAAGGUUGAAACUCAA